CUUAUGGACACAAGAAGGUGCCAUGCAGCCUCUUAAGUCCUUCUUACUGGAUGUUCUGUCUGGAUGCAACAGUCCACUCCUGUGGAGCACUUUUGCACCGGGCAUGAACUCACAGACUCUCAGGCCCUGCAGCGGGAGGACUGGAGACUGAAAACAGCUUCAGCAAAGCUCAUCUGCUUUAUCAGGAUGGGCUGCGCUUGCAGUGGCCAGAAACAAGUACAAGAUGACAAGUUCUACAAAGGAAAACACAACUCUCAGGCCUCCCACUCAACAAAUCACAUAGGACGAAGUGGAAACAGCUUUUCGGAUAAUGAUGAUACUGUGUUUGUGGCACAGCAUGACUUUAAAGGGACCAACGACAGUGAUCUACCAUUCAAAAAGGGAGACAAACUUAAGGUUUUACAAGAAAAUGGAGAAUGGUGGGUGGCUAAAUCAUUGGCAACUGGGAAGGAGGGCUUCAUACCAUGUAAUUAUGUAGCCAGGGCAGAUACACUGGAGAUAGAAAGGUGGUUUUUCAAAGACAUAAGUAGGAGAGAGACUGAACGACUGCUUUUAGCCCCUGGAAACAAACCAGGUGCCUUUCUAAUCCGAGAGAGUGAAACCAGCAAAGGGUCCUUCUCACUGUCAGUCAGAGAUCAUGUACCAGAACAAGGAGAUGUGGUAAAACACUACAAGAUCCGCAGUCUGGACAAAGGUGGCUACUACAUCUCACCCUCGAACACAUUCCUAUCCCUACAGGAACUGGUGAAAUACUAUAGCCGUACAGCAGACGGUUUGUGUCAGCGGCUGUAUGCCCCUUGUAGGUCUAAGGAGCCCCAGCAGCCAUGGGCACAAGACGAAUGGGAGAUUCCCAGAGAGACACUGAAAAUGGUGAAGAAACUUGGGGCAGGGCAGUUUGGAGAAGUGUGGAUGGGUUACUAUAAGAACACCCAGAAGGUUGCUAUUAAGACCUUAAAGGAGGGAACGAUGGCGCCUGAGGCCUUCCUCCAGGAGGCCAACUUGAUGAAGCAGCUGCAGCAUGAACGACUGGUGCGGCUCCAUGCUGUGGUCACUAAGGAGCCCAUCCUUAUUGUCACAGAGUUCAUGAUCAAUGGAUGCCUCCUAGACUUUCUAAAAACAGACGAAGGAAAAAAGCUAAAGCUAAAUAAGCUGAUAGACAUGUCAGCACAGAUAGCUGAAGGCAUGGCGUACAUCGAGAGGAAGAACUACAUCCACCGAGACGUGCGUGCAGCCAACAUUCUGGUCAGUGAAACCCUGCACUGCAAGAUAGCAGACUUUGGCCUGGCGAGGAUCAUCGAGACAGAAUACACAGCUCAAGAAGGCGCUAAAUUUCCCAUCAAAUGGACGGCUCCAGAGGCCAUCAAUUUUGGCACAUUCAGCAUCAAAUCAGACGUAUGGUCCUUUGGGAUCCUCCUCACAGAGAUAGUCACCUAUGGAAGAAUACCCUACCCAGGGAUGACCAACCCAGAGGUGAUCAGGUGCCUGGAUAGGUCAUACAGGAUGCCAUGUCCGGACGGCUGCCCCGAGGAACUCUAUGACAUUAUGAUGAUAUGCUGGAAGCAGAGGCCUGAGGACCGGCCUACUUUUGAAUUUCUCCAAAACACUCUCAACGACUUCUUUAUUGCCACAGAGGGACAAUAUGAGAUGCAGCCGUGAUAAAAGAAAAAGAAAAUGUUUCCUGUUGGUAACCCGUAGAGACAAAAUGUCCGACAUGAAGGAGGAUGAGGACCAAACAUCUUCUUUAUAACAGAUGCAAUUGAUUUUUUUUAAAACCUUUCAAAUGGACACAUUUUUUAAAGCCUACCUUCUGACUGAAUGUAAAAACCUAUUUAUUGGCUUUCUCUGUCUCUCGCAGCUAAGAACGACUGAAAACAUGUCAGAAAGGAAACGUUCAGAACUGCAACGCAAUGUUUUAUUAUACUGACUGUACUCCUGCCAUUGAUGGCUCCCAUUCUUGAUGAAAGCCACGGAGUAUGAGGAGACGUAAUUAGGACUGAUAUAUACAAUGGUAAAAAAGGAAUAUGGAAACACAGUACAUGCAUGAUGUAAAAAAGACCUUUGGACCCAAGGAAGUCAGCUCAGCUACCCCACAGGCAGAGAUAAUAAUAACACCAGUCUGUCUGCUGAUGAACUGAGGGAACUACCAUUAAUAAGUCUCACACUGUAGUGUGAUUGAUAAGCAGCCUCACCUUGAAAGGAGCCAUGAUGUUAACACAAGAUGACAAGACAUGAGGGGUAAAGGUUGGGAGGCCCAAAAACCCUCUCCCCUCCUUCUGCUCAUCACUGCUGCCUAAAAGGGAUAAUGACGGGAAAUUGUUGCUCGUACACAAAUUGAUGACUGAUCCCUGUAGAAGGCAACACAUCAUUAGCAUCAUGUGAGGAUAACCCCGCUCUGUCCUCUGGGAUAUAAAAAAAAGAAUACAAGAGCAUGCCACCCCAGAUGAAAAGAGGUGUGCUUUCAUCUUCCAAUGUUGUUGCUGUUGUCAACGGCGUACAAUUGAGAUUAUGCUCCCCAUAAACGUGCUUUCUCUCCUGGGCUUUGAUGUCAUUAAAUUAAUGGAGUCCAUCAAUCAAGACUGUUCGGUCCAACAGCUGUGAAGGUAGAAGAAGUCUACAAAACAUUUAGGAAAACAGCAUUUGGAGGAUGACAAAAGGAUGAGCCUCAC